GCACUCGUAGCUCAGCGGAUAGAGCAUCUGGCUUCGGACCAGAGGGUCGGGGGUUCGAGUCCCUCCGAGUGCACCA
rnacentral:tRNA from 1 species